GACGAACGCUGGCGGCGUGCUUAACACAUGCAAGUCGAACGGAAAGGCCCUGCUUUUGUGGGGUGCUCGAGUGGCGAACGGGUGAGUAACACGUGAGUAACCUGCCCUUGACUUUGGGAUAACUUCAGGAAACUGGGGCUAAUACCGGAUAGGAGCUCCUGCUGCAUGGUGGGGGUUGGAAAGUUUCGGCGGUUGGGGAUGGACUCGCGGCUUAUCAGCUUGUUGGUGGGGUAGUGGCUUACCAAGGCUUUGACGGGUAGCCGGCCUGAGAGGGUGACCGGCCACAUUGGGACGGAGAUACGGCCCAGACUCCUACGGGAGGCAGGAGUGGGGAAUAUUGCACAAUGGGCGGAAGCAUGAUGCAGCAACGCCGCGUGCGGGAUGACGGCCUUCGGGUUGUAAACCGCUUUCGCCUGUGACGAAGCGUGAGUGACGGUAAUGGGUAAAGAAGCACCGGCUAACUACGUG
rnacentral:rRNA from 1 species